UAGAAAGACAUAUUUCCCUCAGAUUACACAGAUCCACAAAGAAUUCGAAAACAAAUCCAAUUUUGAUAAACUCCCAUAUCUACUGGGUAAAAUUCCACAGUGUGCCAUCACAGCAGCAAGAUUUGUGACCUGUUGCCACGAGAAAAGGGCAACCAGUGAAGAACACACACCAUUGUAAAUACAACCCAUAUUUAUGCUUAUUUAUUUUAUCUUGUGUCCUUUAACCAUUUAUACAUUGUUAAAACACUGUAUAUGUAUAUAAUAUGACAUUUGUAAUGUCUUUAUUGUUUUGAAACUUCUGUAUGUGUAAUGUUUACUGUUAAUUUUUAUUGUAUAUUUCACUUUAUAUAUUAUCUACCUCACUUGCUUUGGCAAUGUUAACACAUGUUUCCCAUGCCAAUAAAGCCCUUGAAUUCAAUUGAAUUCAAUUGAAUUCAAUUGAGAGAGAGAGAGAGGUAGAUAAAAAGGUUUCAUGACAUGGCUGGCCGUGUUUGUAAUUACAUGCUGUCAUAUAAAAACGGUUCAUUAGUGGAUACUGUUGAAAGAUGACUGGGGUAUUCCUUCCCUCCGCUGCCAAGACGGACCCUGAUGGGAAAUGUGACUGGUACCCCCCUUCCCUCCCUCCCGCUUUCUUUCCCUCCGUGUGGAACACAAAACACAAUACCUGCACUUGUUUGAGGCACACAGACUCCAGCCGAGUGUGGAAUAAUAAUAACAAUACAGCUAAGCCCAGAGCCCAGUGGUGAUGUGGAGAGAGACGACAGAAGACAGGAGGGCUGGGGCUCCAGGUCUGAGCCUGCCUGCGAGGCCUACAGUCAGAAAGCCCAAGCUUCAUGUUCCCGCUGUGCAUGCAAAGAGGCCAUUCAUUAAAAACAAGUCUUUCUUGUUAUGAAGUCUAGCUAUCAGUUGGACUGGACACAAGCCAAUCCCUGUCCCCCAGGGGAUUUUUUGGGCCUGUCCCAGGAAUGUGCCAUGACUGGGAAUGUGGUAUUCCUUCCUGAACAUGGCUAAUGCAGGUCUGAAACUCCCUGCCCUCCCCACUACUUUGAAAUGGAGUAUGCCACAUGCAGUGUUAUACUGUACGUCUCGAUGUGUGACUCAAUUUCUCUGUUGGCUGGACUUUACUAUGAAAAGCCUGGAUUGUGAUAAUGUAUGGCACUCUGUUGGCCUUGGACUGUCCAUGUUUCAAAUAUCAACUUCAUAUGAACACAUACAGCAGCUUACAGUGUUCUGACAACACUGUUCCAGCGUCAAUCCUCACCACCAAAUUUACCACCAUGAACAUCAUUAUAGUUACAAAGAAGCCAUUUUGUUUUUUAGUUGAUACACCAUUUUUAAAUAACAUUUUGCAGUCGUUGCAAUAUUGCUCUCGAGCUAAUCUACCUUAUCUGAAAAUAAUUACAGAAACUUAAAAGAAGCCCUUUUUUUCUCUUGCGAUUCAGGUGGGCUUGGGGCCAGACCUUUAAACACACAUUCAAAUGGUAUUCUCUCUCCACAGCUCCUGCAGCACUUUGGGCCCUUACGGGCAUUUAAUGGGUCUGAUAAAUAGGGUUUGCAGAGGGCUGAUUUCUUAAUGCUGAUGUAUGGUUCUGACGGGACAGGUGCUGGCUCCUCAGCUUCCUAACACCACUGUAAUUAAUCUCAUGUGUCAUGUGAUGAACCUAAAGCCCAGGUGGAGCCCAGAACAGACCAGAACACAUGAAUUAUACAAUGGAAAAUCUCAAUGGUAAUGAUUUCCCACCCUGGAUGCGCACGAAGGCACGUGGGCGCGCACACACGUGGACACAUGUGCAAGCACACACACAUUCACACACUCACAGGUAGGUGACUUUGGUCUCCUUGAUUUACAUUUCUCUUUUAUCUCCCUUUUCUUAGAAGAACCGAGUACUGGGCUCCACUUUGAAUCACACUUUAGAAUUGACAAAGAAAAACAUCCUUGAUACUUAUGCAUUUUCAUGGAUGAGAAGGAUAUGAGCCAUAUGUGAUUCAUUUGCAGCGGCGUCCUUCCAUUAAUCUGCUGUGUGGGGUGGCGGCGUGACAGCCGCUGGUGCUCGGCCCUGUGCCACCCGAAGAAGAGUUAUCUCCUCAGGUCCCACCCUCUGGUUAAUAAUUGGAGAAGAAAGCUGUCCUGUUCAUUAAUAUGCAUCACAUUACCAUCACUCACUGGCCUAGUUAAUGUUUACUGUGCUGUACAGCAGGCCGAAUCAUAGCAGAGAAUGUCCGGAUUGAUCCUGGAUUGUCAUUAAGAUGUGUUUACACUUGAUUUUGGAUCAUCAUUUAGAGCUAGUGACUUUGUGUGAGGAUUGAGGGAAAGCAGCUCAAAUUGUUUCCGAUUAUGUUCCGCUAUUUAGCUGUGUUGAUCCUGCAUUGUCAUAGUUGUGUUCAUCCUGGAUUGUCAUUAUGUUCUGUUGAUCCUGGAUGGUCUUGUGAUAUCCAGCAUUUUCAAGAAGUAAAAAAUACAAAAUGUUCACGCAGAACUGUGAGUAACGGAUCUACUGUGCUACACCGACAGGGGUGUCGUUGAUUUAAUUAAUCGUGAGUUGGCCUCAGAAGAGAGCAACAUGUUUGUUAAUUGACAUUUUCUCUCUCUCAUGCUGGUGGUGGUAACAUGUGGGAAGGUGUAAGGUCAGAACACAAACCGUCCUUCCAACUGCCCAGAUGGGGCCCACAAACUGAGCAGGCUUGUACUGCUCCACUGACGCCAUAUGGAACUAGGAACAGAAAAUGACUUAUUUACAAACCCGCCGGCUUUCGUCCCUUCCGACAUGUCGUUCCGACGAACCAUCUAUCGUGAGGAUAGAUUUGGAAGUAGGGAUUGGGAUUUGAAGUUACCUGAGAGAGUUGUAACAGUUGAAUGAAAUCUAGAAUCUGAGGUGGGGUGCAUCCCAAAUGUCACCCUAUUACCUAUAUAGCGCUUUAUGGACCCUGGUCAGAUAGAAGUAGUGCACUAUAGGGAAUAGAGUGCCAUUUGGGAUCUGGCCUGAAAAAGAACCAGUGUGAAUCUGACUGGAUCAUGGAGAGAGAAUGGAACAUUAUGCCAGAGAAGAAAGGAGCAUUUUGUGACUUCACUUCACAAGCACUUCACUUAGAUCGGCAAAAUCCACGAAAGUCACCAACUGACAUUUUGAAACAGUGUAAUUAUGGGGUGAGCAACUGUUGCAACUCCUCUGUAAUUUUAAUGGAAAGGAGGAACGUGAUGGAGUGCUGUUUCCUUUGGCUAAAAUUCCUCUCUGUAUGAUGCAUGCAUAUGAUGUGAAAGGAAUGGUAAUUGACAAUGAUAAUAAUCAAUGUAUCCAUUUGAAGAGUCACUGGGGGACAGCAUGUUCGGCUUUCUUCAGUGUCUUGCACUUUCUCUAGCUUCCCCAUUGCUUUCUCCUACUGUAACUUUUCAAAAUGUUCCUAUUUUUCUCCUCUCAACACAACUCUUAGCCCUACCCUAUUUAUCUUUCUUAUCACCCUGGCUUCUCCUAUAUAUUUAACUCUGUGUCAACAACUUGACUUGCUCCUUUCUCCCCCUCUCCUCCCCGGGAGGAGGUGCUGUAUGGGCUGCAGCAGUCAGGCAGGAAGCGAAGCAGCUCUUGCUUCUCUCUCUCGCUCUCUCUCUCUCUCGUUUUCUCUGGUGUAACUAGCUAUGUGUACACUCUAAAUAUUAGGGGUUCAACAAGGGUUCUUCUAAGAUCCUCAAAGUUCUUAGAAGAAUCGUAGUGUUCUAGGCACUGAAAAUUGCAGACAAAAGGUUCUUCCAAGACCUGGGGUUCAUCAAGGAACCUCCUUAGGUGCCCCACUGAAACAUUUGGAUUUGAAAGAACAGCAGGCGCAGGAAUUUAACUGAACAAUGUUAAGAUCUCCUCAAUUUAAGGUAUACAGACGAGGAGGCAUACACAGGUAUGUCAAUUGGUAUUGAUAUGUUAUGCAGAUCACAUUUACCAUCCUCCUCCCUUACCUCUUCAAUGCAAAUCCCACAGGCCUCUACAUUAUGGACAAGACUUUACCCUCCUUAUACCUGAUGAAUAUAACAGGAAACCUGUUCGAUCACCAUGCGCUGCAAAAUCAUUAGGGGUAUGGAUACGGACAACAUCAACAUGCCAGAGGAUAUACCCAUUGGACUUGGGGCUCUGCUGGGAGUUUACCUCAUAUUUAGAUUUUUAAAAAUUCUGCUUUCCCACUAAAAUCAUAAUAAAC